rnacentral:rRNA from 1 species
ACGCUGGCUACAGGCUUAACACAUGCAAGUCGUGGGGAAACGGCAUUAUGUGCUUGCACAUUCUGGACGUCGACCGGCGCACGGGUGAGUAUCGCGUAUCCAACCUGCCCCUUACUUGGGGAUACCCCGUUGAAAGACGGCCUAAUACCCGAUGUGUUUCAUUGACGGCAUCCGAUAUGAAACAAAGGUUUUCCGGUAAGGGAUGGGGAUGCGUCUGAUUAGCUUGUUGGCGGGGCAACGGCCCACCAAGGCGACGAUCAGUAGGGGUUCUGAGAGGAAGGUCCCCCACAUUGGAACUGAGACACGGUCCAAACUCCUACGGGAGGCAGCAGUGAGGAAUAUUGGUCAAUGGACGCAAGUCUGAACCAGCCAAGUAGCGUGCAGGAUGACGGCCCUAUGGGUUGUAAACUGCUUUUAUGUGGGAAUAAAGUGGCGCACGUGUGCGCCAUUGCAUGUACCUCAUGAAUAAGGACCGGCUAAUUCCGUGCCAGCAGCCGCGGUAAUACGGAAGGUCCGGGCGUUAUCCGGAUUUAUUGGGUUUAAAGGGAGUGUAGGCGGUCUGUUAAGCGUGUUGUGAAAUUUAGGUGCUCAACAUUUAACUUGCAGCGCGAACUGUCAGACUUGAGUACACGCAGCGCAGGCGGAAUUCAUGGUGUAGCGGUGAAAUGCUUAGAUAUCAUGAGGAACUCCGAUCGCGAAGGCAGCCUGCGGGAGUGUUACUGACGCUUAAGCUCGAAGGUGCGGGUAUCGAACAGGAUUAGAUACCCUGGUAGUCCGCACAGUAAACGAUGGAUGCCCGCCGUUGGCGCCCUGCGCCUGCGGCCAAGCGAAAGCAUUAAGCAUCCCACCUGGGGAGUACGCCGGCAACGGUGAAACUCAAAGGAAUUGACGGGGGCCCGCACAAGCGGAGGAACAUGUGGUUU